UACGUAGGGUGCAAGCGUUAAUCGGAAUUACUGGGCGUAAAGCGUGCGCAGGCGGUUUUGUAAGUCUGUCGUGAAAUCCCCGGGCUCAACCUGGGAAUUGCGAUGGAGACUGCAAGGCUAGAAUCUGGCAGAGGGGGGUAGAAUUCCACGUGUAGCAGUGAAAUGCGUAGAGAUGUGGGAGGAACACCGAUGGCGAAGGCAGCCCCCUGGGCCUGCACUGACGCUCAUGCACGAAAGCGUGGGGAGCAAACAGG
rnacentral:rRNA from 1 species